rnacentral:misc_RNA from 1 species
GUGAGUCAUCGAAUCUUUGAACGCAUAUGGCACCUUUUGGUUCUUACUAAAAGGUAUGCCUGUUUGAGAAUCAUUUCUACAUUUUCCAUUCUUGGACACAGUUGAUUGCAGGGCUAACUCUCAAUGGGUCAGAUCUCAAUUAGUUGCAGGGUCAGAUCUCAAUGGGUCAGAUCUCAAUUAGUUGAAGGGCUAACUCUCAAUGGGUCAGCUCUCAAUUGAAUGACCAAGGGUGUGGAUACAUGGACCUUCAUCACUGAUCGUCUUGAAUUCAUGCACGGGACUGUUCGUGGUAUACAGAAU